rnacentral:rRNA from 1 species
AAGACGUCGACGCAAGGCUGGAACUUAGAGGACUUGGCUGGGGAGCACAGCACUUGAAUGGGGGGUGUUAGCACAGGGUUUUGGCAGGACCGGACCCGGUUGGCGAGGUAACACCAGCCCCCCGAGUGGUAGCCGUUAUUAUUGGGUUUAAAGGGUCCGUAGCCGGCCUAUUAAGUCUCUUGGGAAAUCUGGCGACUCAAUCGUCAGGCGUCCAAGAGAUACUGGUAGGCUUGGGACCGGGAGAGGUGGGAGGUACUCCAGGGGUAGGGGUGAAAUCUCGUAAUCCUUGGGGGACCACCGAUGGCGAAGGCAUCCCACCCGAACGGGUCCGACGGUGAGGGACCAAAGCUGGGGGCACCAACCGGAUUAGAUACCCGGGUAGUCCCAGCCGUAAACGAUGCUCGCUAGGUGUCAGGUGCGGUGCGACCGCCUCUGGUGCCCCAGUGAAAACUUGAAGCGAGUCACCUGGGAAGUCCGGCCCCCAGGCUGAAACUUAAAGGAAUUGGCG